GUACUCACUUUGGCAGCACAUAUGCUAAAAUUGGAACAAUACAGAGAAGUUUAGCACGGCCCCUGUGCAAGGAUGACAUAAAUUCAUGAAGCAUUCCAUAUUUUA
ensembl:snRNA U6 U6 spliceosomal RNA